UACGUAGGGUGCGAGCGUUGUCCGGAUUUAUGGGGCGUAAAGAGCUCGUAGGCGGUUUGUCGCGUCGGCCGUGAAAUCUCCACGCUUAACGUGGAGCGUGCGGUCGAUACGGGCAGACUAGAGUGCGGUAGGGGAGACUGGAAUUCCUGGUGUAGCGGUGAAAUGCGCAGAUAUCAGGAGGAACACCGGUGGCGAAGGCGGGUCUCUGGGCCGUAACUGACGCUGAGGAGCGAAAGCGUGGGGAGCGAACAGG
rnacentral:rRNA from 1 species